AGCGGGGAAGAGUAGCUUGCUACCUGACCUAGCGGCGGACGGGUGAGUAAUGCUUAGGAAUCUGCCUAUUAGUGGGGGACAACAUCUCGAAAGGGAUGCUAAUACCGCAUACGUCCUACGGGAGAAAGCAGGGGACCUUCGGGCCUUGCGCUAAUAGAUGAGCCUAAGUCGGAUUAGCUAGUUGGUGGGGUAAAGGCCUACCAAGGCGACGAUCUGUAGCGGGUCUGAGAGGAUGAUCCGCCACACUGGGACUGAGACACGGCCCAGACUCCUACGGGAGGCAGCAGUGGGGAAUAUUGGACAAUGGGGGGAACCCUGAUCCAGCCAUGCCGCGUGUGUGAAGAAGGCCUUUUGGUUGUAAAGCACUUUAAGCGAGGAGGAGGCUACCGAGAUUAAUACUCUUGGAUAGUGGACGUUACUCGCAGAAUAAGCACCGGCUAACUCUGUGCCAGCAGCCGCGGUAAUACAGAGGGUGCAAGCGUUAAUCGGAUUUACUGGGCGUAAAGCGCGCGUAGGUGGCCAAUUAAGUCAAAUGUGAAAUCCCCGAGCUUAACUUGGGAAUUGCAUUCGAUACUGGUUGGCUAGAGUAUGGGAGAGGAUGGUAGAAUUCCAGGUGUAGCGGUGAAAUGCGUAGAGAUCUGGAGGAAUACCGAUG
rnacentral:rRNA from 1 species